AUAAACCCUAUAAUUAAGAGAUG
rnacentral:siRNA from 1 species